rnacentral:rRNA from 1 species
CCUACGGGGGGCAGCAGUAGGGAAUCUUCCGCAAUGGACGAAAGUCUGACGGAGCAACGCCGCGUGAGUGAAGAAGGCCUUCGGGUCGUAAAACUCUGUUGCCGGGGAAGAACAAGUGCCGUUCGAACAGGGCGGCGCCUUGACGGUACCCGGCCAGAAAGCCACGGCUAACUACGUGCCAGCAGCCGCGGUAAUACGUAGGUGGCAAGCGUUGUCCGGAAUUAUUGGGCGUAAAGCGCGCGCAGGCGGCUUCUUAAGUCUGAUGUGAAAUCUUGCGGCUCAACCGCAAGCGGUCAUUGGAAACUGGGAGGCUUGAGUGCAGAAGAGGAGAGUGGAAUUCCACGUGUAGCGGUGAAAUGCGUAGAGAUGUGGAGGAACACCAGUGGCGAAGGCGGCUCUCUGGUCUGUAACUGACGCUGAGGCGCGAAAGCG